rnacentral:rRNA from 1 species
CGGAGGGUGCAAGCGUUGUCCGGAUUUAUUGGGUUUAAAGGGUGCGUAGGCGGCUUUUUAAGUCAGCGGUGAAAUACUUCAGCUCAACUGGAGUCGUGCCGUUGAUACUGGGAAGCUUGAGUACUGAUGAAGUGGGCGGAAUUGAAGGUGUAGCGGUGAAAUGCAUAGAUAUCUUCAAGAACACCGAUUGCGAAGGCAGCUCACUAAGGAGUAACUGACGCUGAGGCACGAAAGCGUGGGUAGCAAACAGGAUUAGAUACCCUGGUAGUCCACGCCCUAAACGAUGAUUACUCGAUGUUUGCAGGUUACUGUAAGCGUCCAAGCGAAAGCGAUAAGUAAUCCACCUGGGGAGUACGCCCGCAAGGGUG